rnacentral:sRNA from 1 species
ACUGCUCAUGUGAUUGUGGAGUAGACAGUUGGAAGAAGUACCCAGUCCAUUUGGAGAGUUAAAACUGUGCCUUACAGAGGUGUCCUCUGACUUUUCUUCUGCAAGCUCCAUGUUUUCACAUCUUCCCUUUGACUGUGUCCUGCUGCUGCUGCUGCUGCUACUUACAAGGUCCUCAGAAGUGAAAUACAUAGCGGAGGUGGGUCAGAAUGCCUAUCUGCCCUGCUUCUACACCCCAGCUGCCCCAGGGAACCUCGUGCCCGUCUGCUGGGGCAAAGGAGCCUGUCCUGUGUUUGAAUGUGGCAGCGUGGUGCUCAGGACUGAUGAAAGGGAUGUGAAUCAUCGGACGUCCAGCAGAUACUGGCUAAAUGGGGAUUUCCGCAAAGGAGAUGUGUCCCUGACCAUAGAGAAUGUGACUCUCGCAGACAGUGGGAUCUACUGCUGCCGGAUCCAAAUCCCAGGCAUAAUGAAUGAUGAAAAAUUUAACCUGAAGUUGGUCAUCAAACCAGGUGAGUGGACCUUUGCAUGCCUUCUUUAUGAAUAAGAUUUAUCUGUGGAUCAUAUUAAAGGUACUGAUUGUUCUCACCUCUGACUUCCCUAAUUAUAGCCCUGGAGGAGGGCUGCCAAGACCUAAAGUUUAACAGGCCCCAUCGGUGAUACUCAGUGAUACUUAACACCUUCUCUCUGUUUUAAAACUCAUGGGUGUGCCUGGGUGUGGUGGUUCACACCUCUAAUCCCAGCACUUUGGGAGGCUGAGGCCGGUGGAUCACAAGGUCAGGAAUUCGAGACCAGCCUGGCCAACAUAGUGAAACCUUGUCUCCACUAAAAAUACAAAAAAUUAGCCGGGCAUGGUGACGGGAGCCUGGAAUUCUAGCUACUCGGGGGGCUGAAGCAGGAGAAUCACUUGAACCUGGGAGUCAGAGGUUGCAGUAAGCCAAGAUCUCGCCAUUGUACUCCAGCCUGGCUGAUAAGAGUGAAACUCUGUCUCAAAAAAACCAGAAAA